rnacentral:rRNA from 1 species
AAAAGCGGAGGAAAAGAAACCAACCGGGAUUGCCUUAGUACGGCGAGUGAGCGGCAAAAGCUCAAAUUUGAAAUCUGGUACCUUCGGUGCCCGAGUUGUAAUUUGGAGAGGGCAACUUUGGGGCCGUUCCUUGUCUAUGUUCCUUGGAACAGGACGUCAUAGAGGGUGAGAAUCCCGUGUGGCGAGGAGUGCGGUUCUUUGUAAAGUGCCUUCGAAGAGUCGAGUUGUUUGGGAAUGCAGCUCUAAGUGGGUGGUAAAUUCCAUCUAAAGCUAAAUAUUGGCGAGAGACCGAUAGCGAACAAGUACAGUGAUGGAAAGAUGAAAAGAACUUUGAAAAGAGAGUGAAAAAGUACGUGAAAUUGUUGAAAGGGAAGGGCAUUUGAUCAGACAUGGUGUUUUGUGCCCUCUGCUCCUUGUGGGUAGGGGAAUCUCGCAUUUCACUGGGCCAGCAUCAGUUUUGGUGGCAGGAUAAAUCCAUAGGAAUGUAGCUUGCCUCGGUAAGUAUUAUAGCCUGUGGGAAUACUGCCAGCUGGGACUGAGGACUGCGACGUAAGUCAAGGAUGCUGGCAUAAUGGUUAUAUGCCGCCCGUCUUGAAC